GGCUCAGAACGAACGCCGGCGGCGUGGCUAAGGCAUGCAAGUCGAACGGGACAGGUUUGGUAGCAAUAUCGGCCUGUUCAGUGGCGGACGGGUCAGUAAUGCAUGGGUAACGUGCCCUGUACUCAGGGAUAACGGCGGGCCCGCAGGGGUCCUUUGCGAAAGUGCCGGUAAUACCUGAUGACAUCCAUGUUCGGCAUCGAAUGUGGAUCAAACGGUGGGGACCGUAGGGCCUAUCGGUAUGGGAGCGGCCCAUGUCCUAUCAGCUAGUUGGUGAGGUAACGGCCCACCAAGGCGAAGACGGGUAGCAGGGCUGAGAGGUCGGCCUGCGACAUCGGGACUGAGACACUGCCCGGACACCUACGGGUGGCUGCAGCAACGAAUAAUCCGCAAUGGGCGAAAGCCUGACGGUGCGACGCCGCGUACGGGAUGAAGUCCUUCGGGAUGUAAACCGUAAUAGUCUGUCGACAAGCGACCCGGUCUAACACAUCGGGAAGUUGAGUAGCAGAUGAAAGGGACGGCUAACUCCGUGCCAGCAGCCGCGGUAAGACGGAGGUCCCUAGCGUUGUUCGGAAUCACUGGGCUUAAAGCGCGUGUAGGCGGACUGGCGCGUACCUUGUGAAAGCCCCCGGCUCAACCGGGGAAUAGCUCGGUAUACGGCCAGUCUUGAGGCAGAUAGAGGUGCCUGGAACCUUAGGUGGAGCGGUGAAAUGCGUAGAUAUCUAAGGGAACGCCGGUGGCGAAAGCGGGGCACUGGGUCUGUUCUGACGCUGAGACGCGAAAGCGUAGGGAGCAAACGGGAUUAGAUACCCCGGUAGUCUACGCCGUAAACGAUGCGCACUAGGUACGAGGACCACUGACGGUAAUCGUGCCGAAGCAAAAGUGAUUAGUGCGCCGCCUGGGGAGUACGGCCGCAAGGCUAAAACUC
rnacentral:rRNA from 1 species